rnacentral:rRNA from 1 species
GAUGAACGCUGGCGGCGUGCCUAAUACAUGCAAGUCGAACGAGGUCAGUCUUGUAGCAAUACGGGACUGGUCCUAGUGGCGAAUGGGUGAGUAACACGUAGGCGACCUGCCCCGGAGAGGGGGAUAACCCCGCGAAAGCGGGGCUAAUACCCCGUACGUUCCAGAGGGUUAGAGGCCUCUGGACGGAAGGAGCAAUCCGCUCUGGGAGGGGCCUGCGGCCCAUCAGCUUGUUGGUAGGGUAGCGGCCUACCAAGGCGACGACGGGUAGGGGGCCUGAGAGGGUGGUCCCCCACACUGGCACUGAAACACGGGCCAGACACCUACGGGUGGCAGCAGUAGGGAAUAUUGCACAAUGGGCGAAAGCCUGAUGCAGCAACGCCGCGUGCGCGAUGAAAGCCUUCGGGUUGUAAAGCGCUUUUCGGGGGGAUGAGGAAGGACAGUACCCCCGGAAUAAGUCUCGGCUAACUACGUGCCAGCCGCCGCAUAACAC